UCGAACGGUAGCACAGAGAGCUUGCUCUCGGGGGACGAGUGGCGGACGGGGGAGUAAUGUCUGGGAAACUGCCUGAUGGAGGGGGAUAACUACUGGAAACGGUAGCUAAUACCGCAUAACGUCGCAAGACCAAAGAGGGGGACCUUCGGGCCUCUUGCCAUCAGAUGUGCCCAGAUGGGAUUAGCUAGUAGGGGGGGUAACGGCUCACCUAGGCGACGAUCCCUAGCUGGUCUGAGAGGAUGACCAGCCACACUGGAACUGAGACACGGUCCAGACUCCUACGGGAGGCAGCAGUGGGGAAUAUUGCACAAUGGGCGCAAGCCUGAUGCAGCCAUGCCGCGUGUAUGAAGAAGGCCUUCGGGUUUUAAAGUACUUUCAGCGGGGAGGAAGGGGUUUUGGUUAAUAACCGCAGCAAUUGACGUUACCCGCAGAAGAAGCACCGGCUAACUCCGUGCCAGCAGCCGCGGUAAUACGGAGGGGGCAAGCGUUAAUCGGAAUUACUGGGCGUAAAGCGCACGCAGGCGGUCUGUCAAGUCGGAUGUGAAAUCCCCGGGCUCAACCUGGGAACUGCAUUCGAAACUGGCAGGCUAGAGUCUUUUAGAGGGGGGUAGAAUUCCAGGGGUAGCGGGGAAAUGCGUAGAGAUCUGGAGGAAUACCGGGGGCGAAGGCGGCCCCCUGGACAAAGACUGACGCUCAAAA
rnacentral:rRNA from 1 species